rnacentral:misc_RNA from 1 species
GGUGAAGAACGUAGCGAAAUGCGAUAAGUAAUGUGAAUUGCAGAAUUCAGUGAAUCAUCGAAUCUUUGAACGCACAUUGCGCCCGCCAGUAUUCUGGCGGGCAUGCCUGUCCGAGCGUCAUUUCAACCCUCGGGCCCCCCUCUGCGGGCGGCCCGGCGUUGGGGCUCAGGCGCCGUCUCUGCUCGGCGCCUGUCCCCUAAAUGCAGUGGCGGCCUCGCCGCUGCCUCCUCCGCGUAUUAGCACAAACCUCGCGGCUGGAAGGCGGCGCGGCCACACCGUAAAACCCCCCAACUUUACCAAGGUUGACCUCGGAUCAGGUAGGAAUACCCGCUGAACUUAAGCAUAUCAAUAAGCGGAGGA